rnacentral:misc_RNA from 1 species
GUGAAUCAUCAAAUUUUUGAACGCAAAUUGCACUCCCUGGCAUUCCGGAGAGUAUGCCUGUUUGAGGGUCAGUUUAAAUAAAAAUCGGUGUGGUUGCUGCCUUUUGUGGUGACGGACGGGAUUUGGGUCGUCAUGUCUUUGGUUAAGUGACCUAAAAUUUUGCAUGAUUUUUUCGUACGUAUCUAACUGAUUUUUUGUAUGUUUGCGA